rnacentral:rRNA from 1 species
AGCUGUGGAUUGUCCUUUGGACAAUGGUAGGAGAGCGUUCUAAGGGCGUUGAAGCAUGAUCGUAAGGACAUGUGGAGCGCUUAGAAGUGAGAAUGCCGGUGUGAGUAGCGAAAGACGGGUGAGAAUCCCGUCCACCGAUUGACUAAGGUUUCCAGAGGAAGGCUCGUCCGCUCUGGGUUAGUCGGGUCCUAAGCUGAGGCCGACAGGCGUAGGCGAUGGAUAACAGGUUGAUAUUCCUGUACCACCUAUAAUCGUUUUAAUCGAUGGGGGGACGCAGUAGGAUAGGCGAAGCGUGCGAUUGGAUUGCACGUCUAAGCAGUAAGGCUGAGUAUUAGGCAAAUCCGGUACUCGUUAAGGCUGAGCUGUGAUGGGGAGAAGACAUUGUGUCUUCGAGUCGUUGAUUUCACACUGCCGAGAAAAGCCUCUAGAUAGAAAAUAGGUGCCCGUACCGCAAACCGACACAGGUAGUCAAGAUGAGAAUUCUAAGGUGAGCGAGCGAACUCUCGUUAAGGAACUCGGCAAAAUGACCCCGUAACUUCGGGAGAAGGGGUGCUCUUUAGGGUUAACGCCCAGAAGAGCCGCAGUGAAUAGGCCCAAGCGACUGUUUAUCAAAAACACAGGUCUCUGCUAAACCGUAAGGUGAUGUAUAGGGGCUGACGCCUGCCCGGUGCUGGAAGGUUAAGAGGAGUGGUUAGCUUCUGCGAAGCUACGAAUCGAAGCCCCAGUAAACGGCGGCCGUAACUAUAACGGUCCUAAGGUAGCGAAAUUCCUUGUCGGGUAAGUUCCGACCCGCACGAAAGGCGUAACGAUUUGGGCACUGUCUCAACGAGAGACUCGGUGAAAUCAUAGUACCUGUGAAGAUGCAGGUUACCCGCGACAGGACGGAAAGACCCCGUGGAGCUUUACUGUAGCCUGAUAUUGAAAUUCGGCACAGCUUGUACAGGAUAGGUAGGAGCCUUUGAAACGUGAGCGCUAGCUUACGUGGAGGCGCUGGUGGGAUACUACCCUAGCUGUGUUGGCUUUCUAACCCGCACCACUUAUCGUGGUGGGAGACAGUGUCAGGCGGGCAGUUUGACUGGGGCGGUCGCCUCCUAAAAGGUAACGGAGGCGCUCAAAGGUUCCCUCAGAAUGGUUGGAAAUCAUUCAUAGAGUGUAAAGGCAUAAGGGAGCUUGACUGCGAGACCUACAAGUCGAGCAGGGUCGAAAGACGGACUUAGUGAUCCGGUGGUUCCGCAUGGAAGGGCCAUCGCUCAACGGAUAAAAGCUACCCCGGGGAUAACAGGCUUAUCUCCCCCAAGAGUUCACAUCGACGGGGAGGUUUGGCACCUCGAUGUCGGCUCAUCGCAUCCUGGGGCUGUAGUCGGUCCCAAGGGUUGGGCUGUUCGCCCAUUAAAGCGGUACGCGAGCUGGGUUCAGAACGUCGUGAGACAGUUCGGUCCCUAUCCGUCGUGGGCGUAGGAAAUUUGAGAGGAGCUGUCCUUAGUACGAGAGGACCGGGAUGGACAUACCUCUGGUGUACCAGUUGUCGUGCCAACGGCAUAGCUGGGUAGCUAUGUGUGGACGGGAUAAGUGCUGAAAGCAUCUAAGCAUGAAGCCCCCCUCAAGAUGAGAUUUCCCAACUUCGGUUAUAAGAUCCCUCAAAGAUGAUGAGGUUAAUAGGUUCGAGGUGGAAGCAUGGUGACAUGUGGAGCUGACGAAUACUAA